AUUGAACGCUGGCGGCAGGCCUAACACAUGCAAGUCGAGCGGAUGAAGGGAGCUUGCUCCUGGAUUCAGCGGCGGACGGGUGAGUAAUGCCUAGGAAUCUGCCUGGUAGGGGGGGAUAACGUCCGGAAACGGGCGCUAAUACCGCAUACGUCCUGAGGGAGAAAGUGGGGGAUCUUCGGACCUCACGCUAUCAGAUGAGCCUAGGUCGGAUUAGCUAGUUGGUGGGGUAAAGGCCUACCAAGGCGACGAUCCGUAACUGGUCUGAGAGGAUGAUCAGUCACACUGGAACUGAAACACGGUCCAGACUCCUACGGUAGGCAGCAGUGGGGAAUAUUGGACUAUUGGCGAAAGCCUGAUCCAGCCAUGCCGCGUGUGUGAAGAAGGUCUUCGGAUUGUAAAGCACUUUAAGUUGGGAGGAAGGGCAGUAAGUUAAUACCUUGCUGUUUUGACGUUACCAACAGAAUAAGCACCGGCUAACUUCGUG
rnacentral:rRNA from 1 species